rnacentral:misc_RNA from 1 species
AACGAGGCCGACCUGCGGCUGAGUUACCUGCGGAGGGAUCAUUAAUAAAUGUUACUUCGGUAACUUAAUUAAUCCCUAACACCUGUGCAUCUUGUCGCUUCGGCGUCAUUUUAUAAACAUCAGUGUAAUGAAUGUAACGUAUUAUAACAAAUACAACUUUCAACAACGGAUCU